UUCUUCUUUUAGGAUAUAUUUUCAUUUUGCGGCUUUUAUUCCCUGGAGAAAGUAGCUGCUCAUGCAUCAUCAUUGCUUGGAAGAAUAGGGAAACAUUUAUUCUUGAGAGAUGGUGAUAAUGAAAAACCUCCUAUUUUACUUCAGAUGGCCAACGAUACUGAUGAUCUUCCAUUUAUAUCUACUCUACGGUCCUUUAGGCAUCGGGUUGCCUACGCUAAUGCACGAUAUGAUCGUAUCCUGCCAUACUAUAUACAUUUGUUUAUUAUUUUUUACUUGUUUAUGUAGGAAAAUAUUUGGAGAUAAAAUGUCAGGACAUUUAAACAUAUGCUCAAGCAAUACAUGAAAAACUAGUUAGGCUGUUCCAAUUUUCUUCUUUUUGAAAUCCUCUAAUUUAUGUGAAGAACUUAACACUUCCUCUUAGAUCUUGCUGGAUGGAGUACAUCAUCACUGCGGCGUCGAAGUGAGCUCCCAAAGCGUCAAAAUCUGUCAAGAAUUGACAAAUACCCGCAUGUCAUAAAUGUGGAGUUAGCAAAACCUGUGAAUACUCAAGAAGAAAUGUCUUUAGAGGGCCAAGUCAAUGUAUGCAAGACCAUUGAUAUGGAAGGUUAGUUACCAAAUUUUUGUCAAUGUUAUUCAUGUUCUACAGCACUAAUCUUACAAGAUUCAAGAACCAUUACUUCCCAUUAAAAAACCAAGUUAAAAAUUAAAAUAAAAAAGGUUUUUCCUUCAUUUUAAAUGUAGAUUUCACUUGUAUAUUUAGUU